rnacentral:rRNA from 1 species
UACGUAGGGGGCAAGCGUUGUCCGGAAUCAUUGGGCGUAAAGAGCGUGUAGGCGGCCACUUAAGUCCUGCGUGAAAUCUUGCGGCUCAACCGCAAGCGGUCGUGGGAAACUGGGUGGCUAGAGUGCGGGAGAGGAGAGUGGAAUUCCUGGUGUAGCGGUGGAAUGCGCAGAUAUCAGGAAGAACACCCGUGGCGAAGGCAGCUCUCUGGAACGCAACUGACGCUGAGACGCGAAAGCGUGGGGAGCAAACAGG